AUGCUCUUUACCUUCCCUGUUCUUUCCAGAGUUAUCCAUUUCUUCACUGAAGAAAUGCUUAGGAGGGCUUGUCGGGAGCCAUGCUCUGCGCCACGUGCUGGGCCUUCUGUGAUGGCUUGGUGUGAUGCACGCGCAAGUGAGUUAAUAUAUCACGAUGGAGUGUCAUACGUCCAACAGAAAGAGGAAUCGAGCAACAACAGCAACGUUGAGACACUAGUGUAUAAUAACAGGAGCAAAAAGAUGAGUUUAAUGGAACAGGGGAGAGAAAGAAGAAAGGAGAGUUCUGUCUGCCUCAGAGGAAUUGAGGAUGUGGGUGUCCUGGAAAGGUGGGAAGAGGAGUCCUCCUUUUCUGGCCAUGUCCUUCUCUCAAGUGGGGGGAUGCCAGGCUCAAGGGGAGAAAAGAGCUAUCAUCCCUGGAGGAUGCUUCAAUUCUGGAAGUGCCCACACCUUGUCGGCUCGGAUGCACACCCUUUAGGAGGCGGAGGCGAAGGUGCCCGUGUGAGCCCACCAGACAACAUGGCCGCACGCCCAGCUCCACUGCUCUACUCUACCUUUGCCUAA
rnacentral:lncRNA from 1 species